UACGGAAGGCAGCAGUGGGGAAUAUUGCACAAUGGGCGCAAGCCUGAUGCAGCCAUGCCGCGUGUAUGAAGAAGGCCUUCGGGUUGUAAAGUACUUUCAGUCGUGAGGAAGGUGUUAAGGUUAAUAACCUUAGCAAUUGACGUUAGCGACAGAAGAAGCACCGGCUAACUCCGUGCCAGCAGCCGCGGUAAUACGGAGGGUGCGAGCGUUAAUCGGAAUUACUGGGCGUAAAGGGCACGCAGGCGGUUAAUUAAGUUGGAUGUGAAAUCCCCGGGCUUAACCUGGGAAUGGCAUUCAAGACUGGUUAGCUAGAGUCUUGUAGAGGGGGUUAGAAUUCCAUGUGUAGCGGUGAAAUGCGUAGAGAUGUGGAGGAAUACCGGUGGCGAAGGCGGCCCCUGGACAAAGGCUGACGCUCAUGUGCGAAAGCGUGGGGAGCAAACAGGGAUUAGAUACC
rnacentral:rRNA from 1 species